rnacentral:lncRNA from 1 species
CUGGUAAGUCAUGUUCGAUAAAUAUUUAACUAGCUAAUAUAUUUGAAGAUUAAGAUUAUUUUAAUCCUACUAAACCCCCCCCCCCCCCCCCCCCCCCCCCCCCAUUAACCAAAGAAUGAAAACACUGAUCAAGAAACAUUUUGAGUAAAUAAAAACUUAUUGUCGUACUGAUUCCCACACAGUGGAAUACCAUAGCCUUUGAAAAGAAUUAUUUAUUCAGUUCUGAUUUAUUAUAUGCAUGGAGUCAACUAUAAAUUUCAACUACUACAUACAUAAAAAGCAAAGGAAAUUGUGAGUUAUCUCCCUUUAAAGAUAUAGGAAUAUGUAUUAUCUCGCUUUGACAAUUAAAAAAUCUAGCAAAAUGCAGUCACAGAUAAAAAUGAGUAGUCUCUCCCCAUUCAGUAUAAUCCGAAUAAUGUCAGUCGUUAUAUUCCGCUGAUCUCCUUCUAAUCUCUGAUUUCUACAUUAAAUAGGCUAUAGGCCGCUAGAGGGGGCAGAAUUAUUUGAGUUACAUUAAGUACUAUAUGAAAAUAUUGUCUCCCUUUUUAAAACAAUUAAAAAGACAUGCAAGCUAAUCAAAAAUAAAUUAAUGAGUAGUCCCCCUUUAUAAUUAGAGUUACUCUCCCUUUAUAAGUACUGUAAAAACAAAUUGUCCCCCUUUAACAAAGAAAAAAGGCUCACAAACUGCCGUCACAAACAAAAUUCAUUGUCAUGAUGAUUUUGC